GAAAUGCGAUACGUAAUGUGAAUUGCAGAAUUCAGUGAAUCAUCAAAACCUUGAACGCAACUUGCACCAGAGAGCUCUCUCUCUGGUACACUUGUUCGAGUGUCGCUUUUAAAAAAUCCCAUCAUCUAAAAUCUAUAGAUGGUUAAUGGGAGUUCACUCUAACCGGUGAUCUCCUUAAAAAUAGAGGGUAAAUUUAAUCCACAUAAAAAACUCUCUUUGAUCAAACUUGGUGUUUGAGUGUAUCCAUUUAAUUUGUGAUCACUAUUCCACCAGAAUAGAUCUUUAUCUGAGAAUUAUGUUCGAUUAUACCCCGAAGUAACAAUAACCGAUUAAAACCCGGUUCUUUUAUCUCUUGCGACCUCGAAUCAAGUGAGAUUACCCGCUGAAUUUAA
rnacentral:misc_RNA from 1 species